AGAGAUUUAAGUUAAGAAAACUCAUAGCCUUCAAAGCUUUAAUUGAUAAAAGUCAAUCUCUA
rnacentral:tRNA from 2 species